rnacentral:lncRNA from 1 species
UUUGCAGUUUUUAUAUGCUUUAUUACAGGCUGCUAUAAUGUACAAUGGCAAUAAUAUAAAAGAGAUCUGUAACAUAAUACAAGAACAAACAAAACAAAAAUGUGUCCAUAGUACACAGAUGCCCCACUAUCAUUUUCUAUGUUUAGUGGACCGUGAAAUUGGGGUAAAAACUCUAAUUUGGCAUUUGAAUUAGAAAGAUCAUAUCAUAGGGAACAGGUGUACUAAGUUUUAUGUUGAUUGGACUUCAACUUCAUCAAAAACUACCUUGACCAAAAACUUUAACCUGAAGCGGGACAGACGGACGAACGGACCCACAGACCAGCAAACAUAAUACCUCUCUACUAUCGUAGGUGGGGCAAAAAAAAAACAUGAUCUACUGAUUUAGAAUUUAUAAACAUAUUUGAUGUUCUUGGCUCUAUUAACAAAUGACCAUAUUUGAGUAAGCAAAUUUCAAACAAUGCCAAAAUACUUGUAGUGUCUAGCUCUAGAAUGCAUUCUGUAAGUACUGGCGAUUUGUGGGUUAGAUCCUAUGAUGAAUAAAAGCAACAUUCAAAUUGGUAUUUUUUGCUUCCAUGCUAAGCAUACAUCAUUUAGAACUAAAAUUGGUCAACUCUAGGUUGUGUGUCCAUGUGAAGUGAAAUGUAUUCUUGCUGUCAAUUUCUUCACAAUCUAGGAGGUUAAACAUAUGGUUACGCAUUUAAUAUCAGCACAAUCAUAACAAGGUUUAUUUUGAAAAAGUAACUAGGCUGUUUCCCUAAAUAUUGUAAAAGAUUUUUUUGAAUUUAAACCAUGCUUUCCUCAAACUGUAUAUUAUUAUAGUAACAAUGGAUAAUUUGUUUUAUUGCCUAUUUAUGAUAUAUUACAUUUAUUGGCUUUAUAACAAAAACCUAAAACAAGAAUGUGUCCAUAGUACACAGAUGCCCCACUCACACUAUCAUUUUCUAUGUUCAGUGGACCGUGAAAUUAGGGUAAAAACUCUAAUUUGGCAUUAAUAUUUGAAAGAUCAUAUCAUAGGAUUAUGUGUACUAAGUUUUAAGUCGACUGGACUUCAACUUCAUCAAAAACUACCUUGACAAAAAACUUUAACCUGAAGCAGGAAAGACGGACGAACAAAAGAAUGAAUGAACAAACAGAUGGAUGGACGAAAGAACAAAUUGAGCACAGACCAGAAAACAUAAUGUCCUUCUCCUAUCGUAGUUGGGCCAUAAAAAGUUGUGUUGAUCUAGCUAUCUACCAUGAUAUUAACUCUUUUUAAACACUCACAUAGUGAUCCAUACUAUGCUUUUAUAACAACAUGGAAUAUAAAAUAUUAGAGCAAUCCAGUUUAAUCAUUGAUUAAUAAUUACAAAAUAUAUUUAACAAUGGAUAUAACAAUUUGAAGCAACAACUUGUAAAUGAACUGCAACAUUUAAAUCAACAUACAUUAUUAAAAAUACUACUUUUGCAACAAAAACAUUGCUGACAAUGAAGACCAGUUAGUUAAUAUCACAGUCAUUAAAAAAAGCACCAAAAAGCAAAAAAGGCAAUUAAAUAUGAAAUAAGGUAACAUCUGAGAUAUUUACUAUUCCUAUAAACUCAAUUUAGGCAAGAUGAGCUUAUAACUAAUUAAUACAAUUAUCAAGAUAAUAAAUGUUAACAAGGCAUUAAACCUUAUUCAAUUUUACAUAUGCUGCAUAUGGAAGCAAACUAAAAAGAAGCUACCAUCAUUUAUAUAUUUUGGACAAUCAAAUUCCACAUGGCAAUAACAACAAGUUAAUAAUUCAAAAUUACAAUCUAUAAUGUUUUAAAAUACUAAAAAUUAAAAAUAUUAUAUGCGUUGGAUCAGUUCUAACGAGACUUUAUUAUGCUAACUAUUAUGCACAUUAAACUUGUAUAAUACCUCAAAAGAUUAUGAUUGUGAUAUACAAUACAUCCUCUCAAAAACAUUGUGUUUUAAAUAUAUGGAAAAAUAAUUGAUUGGUUGAUUUUUGAUUGCUUAAUAUGCAGUGCCAUAUACAUGUAUUUUAUUUAUAUACAUAAUGUAAGUUUUAAACAAG